GUCUGAAAUUCCAAAAUGAAAUAAUAUGAAAUAAUAUUUAUUAGUACGUGUAGGGGCUGGGUAACAUGGUCAAAGUUACAGAGGCAGAAAACCAUAAGGUGUCUCACAGAAACUGAAUAUACUCAUUUAACUGUGACAGAUGGCUCAUGUGAAAAAGUAGCAAAGGAGAAGCUUCAUUCGUUCUAUUAGUGUUAGAAUGUGCUAUGGAAUCUGGAUUUUAUUAUGAUUGCAAAAGGAUGGUAUUGAAAACUUCGGAGUGGAAAAUGACAUUCUGAAGUAUUUUGAGAAUAUGAAUCUGCCUGUGGAGUACAGAAUGGACAUAGGUAAGAAGAGGCCUGGAGCCACAACUUUGUCAAAAGGGCACAAAUAGAGUCUGAGAGAAAGAGGGCUUGAGACAGAAUGGAAACAAUGGGAAAGAUGGAAUGGACUCUGGAGGCAAUGAACUGAGAACGGAUCUGACCUCUGUGGCAAGGGGAGAGGAGCUGCUCGACUGAUCCAAAACAUGGAUGCCACCGCUGAGCCUUGUACAGACUUUUUCAAAUAUGCUUGCGGAGGCUGGUUGAAACGUAAUGUCAUUCCCGAGACGAGCUCCCGUUACGGCAACUUUGACAUUUUAAGAGAUGAACUAGAAGUCGU
rnacentral:sRNA from 1 species